CCUACGGGAGGCAGCAGUGGGGAAUAUUGCGCAAUGGGCGAAAGCCUGACGCAGCGACGCCGCGUGAGGGAUGAAGGUCUUCGGAUCGUAAACCUCUGUCAGCAGGGAAGAACGGUCACUGUGCUAAUCAGCAGUGAAUUGACGGUACCUGCAAAGGAAGCACCGGCUAACUCGGUGCCAGCAGCCGCGGUAAUACGGAGGGUGCGAGCGUUAAUCGGAAUUACUGGGCGUAAGGCGCUCGUAGGCGGUAUGUCAAGUCAAGGGUGAAAGCCCCGGGCUCAAGGUGGGAACUGCCUUUGAAACUGGCAUACUGGAGUGUGGGAGAGGAUAGUGGAAUUCCAGGGGUAGGAGUGAAAUCCGUAGAUAUCUGGAGGAACAUCAGUGGCGAAGGCGACUAUCUGGCACAUAACUGACGCUGAGGAGCGAAAGCGUGGGUAGCAAACAGGAUUAGAUACCCGGGUAGUC
rnacentral:rRNA from 1 species